UUGGAGGGCAAGUCUGGUGCCAGCAGCCGCGGUAAUUCCAGCUCCAAUAGCGUAUAUUAAAGUUGUUGCAGUUAAAAAGCUCGUAGUUGAAUUUCGAGACCGGUUUACUGGUCGUGCUUUUGUACGUACUGGUAUUAUUGGUUUCUCCUUUCUGACGAACUAUAAUGCCAUUAAUUUGGUGUUUUAGGGAAUCAGGACUGUUACUUUGAAAAAAUUAGAGUGUUUAAAGCAAGCUCACGCUUGAAUACAUUAGCAUGGAAUAACGGAAUAGGACGUUUGAUUCUAUUUUGUUGGUUUCUAGGAUCGACGUAAUGAUUAAUAGGGAUAGUUGGGGGCAUUAGUAUUCAAUUGUCAGAGGUGAAAUUCUUGGAUUUAUUGAAGACUAACUACUGCGAAAGCAUUUGCCAAGGAUGUUUUCAUUAAUCAAGAACGAAAGUUAGGGGAUCGAAGACGAUCAGAUACCGUCGUAGUCUUAACCAUAAACUAUGCCGACUAGGGAUCGGAUGAUGUUAAUUUUUUAAUGACUCAUUCGGCGCCUUACGGGAAAC
rnacentral:rRNA from 1 species